rnacentral:misc_RNA from 1 species
UGUUCAGGUUUUGUUAUGGAAGAGCCUGAGUGAGGGCUGCUUUGUCUAAACGACUGCAUUUGCUAUUUUCAGGUGACCGCCCCAGACGAUUUGUCAUGAUAUGUGACGCAUGUUGAACGGCAUCAGAGCUGUCCUGAUCGGGGCGCAGUGAAAUACGGUUUGCUGAACAGUGAUUGCCACUUGGACCGAUACUGAAGCCGAAAUAUUAUUGCCGGUUAUACUGACGGUGCAGUUGGCUGUAUCACCAUACUGAGUCACUGACAUUUGUACUAAAGUCGCCUAUCGUCCCGGACGAAGUGACCGCCCCAGACGAUUUGUCAUGAUAUGUGACGCAUGUUGAACGGCAUCAGAGCUGUCCUGAUCGGGGCGCAGUGAAAUACGGUUUGCUGAACAGUGAUUGCCACUUGGACCGAUACUGAAGCCGAAAUAUUAUUGCCGGUUAUACUGACGGUGCAGUUGGCUGUAUCACCAUACUGAGUCACUGACAUUUGUACUAAAGUCGCCUAUCGUCCCGGACGAAUUUUCUACGGUCAUCACGGUCCACACUGAUCGCUGCAAGGUGUCACUACUGAAUGAUCCCAAUACAUACUGACCGACUAA